rnacentral:rRNA from 1 species
CGUGGGAGGAAAGAGGAUUARAUACCCUGGUAGUCCACGCCGUAAACGAUGUCUACUAGAAAGCUCGGGGCUUCGGACUUGUUUUUCAAAACUAACACAUUAAGUAGACCCCCUGGGAGUACGGCCGCAAGGUUAAAACUCAAAUGAAUUGACGGGGGCCCGCACAAGCGGUGGAGCAUGUGGUUUAAUUCGAUGCAACACGAAGAACCUUACCUACACUUGACAUACAGAGAACUUACCAGAGAGGUUUGGUGCUUCGGGAACUCUGAUACAGGUGCUGCAUGGCUGUCGUCAGCUCGUGUUGUGAGAUGUUGGGUUAAGUCCCGCAACGAGCGCAACCCCUAUCCUUAGUUGCCAGCGAUUCGGUCGGGACUCUAAGGAGACUGCCGGUGAUAAACCGGAGGAAGGUGGGGCCGCCGUCAAGUCAUCAUGGCCCUUACGUGUAGGGCUACACCCGUGCUACAAUGGCGCAUCCAGAGUGCUGCGACCCUGCGAGGGUAGCGAAUCCCUUAAAGUGCGUCGUAGUCCGGAUUGGAGUCUGCAACUCGACUCCAUGAAGUCGGAAUCGCUAGUAAUCGCCUAUCAGAAUGAUGCGGUGAAUACGUUCCCGGGCCUUGCACCCCCCG